CUUUCAGCCGCAGAGAGAAGAAGCUGCCCAAGAAUGGAAAGGAAGAAAUAUAUCACAUCAUCUGUCUGUCCACAGGCUUUCCUUUGGGCUUAUGGAGAUUUCCUAGUGGUUACUGUUUCCCAUUGACUCAAAACCAAAGGACAAAGUGGACAUCUAACAAACAGGUUUCUCAUUUUCCUCUGACAUAAUUGUACCACGAGACUCAUAGAAAACUUCAAAUACAAUGGUGGAAAGCGCAAGGUGUAUCAAAAAGGGACCGCAGUUAAAAGCUAGGGCUAGGAUUUGGAGGAUGUGUAGGCAAACGGAAGGAGAGCCGGGGGAAGAAAAACCGAAAUGGAUUCAUUCUCUGUCCUGGAUGGAGGAGGAGAAGAGAAGAGAAGGGCACGUGAAAGCUUCCUUCAACUGCCUCUGUCCGGUGAAAAGUGAUCAACCCCCCGGGACUGAAUAGAACUCAAGAGUCCACGCGGACUUUCGCUUUAUCCUGCCAAUCAAACUGCUUACUAGACAACACCCUGAUCUGGCAUGGACAUUAAGAAGGAUAAGCUUGGAGCGCCCAGUCACCGUGGUAACUGCCAGAAAAAUUCUCCUGAAGUUUGAAGAGGUCAGCUCACAGGGUCAACAACUCUGGCCUCUUUCUGAGCUGGGCCUGGCAGGCCCCAUCCUGCAGUUGGAGUGGUAGGCCAGGCCUAGCCCUGGGAGGUGGGCCAUUCCAGCUCUGAUAUAAAUUUUUUGAGUCAGUUCACGGCCUGGACUCUCCAGGUGGUCUCCAAAAUCGAUUGUGACCUUCUGACCUUGUCUAACGGAGGCAUAGCAUCCAACCUAAGUAAGGAUUUAGCCAGGAAUGACAGCUUUCCACUGAGUGUUAUUGGGGACAGUACAAACAAUUUUGGAAGCAAGGAGGUAGGUAUGAGGAGUAGAGGUCAUUAAAAGCAUAUUAAAAAACUAUUUUUUAAAAUAACCUUGUUGGUGAAAAGUUUUUAUUAGCAUUGAGUACCCCUGUUAUAAACCUUUUCAGCAAAGCCCUUUCCCCCUCCCCAAUGCUAUUUUAUAUUAAAUAUUCUGAAUGUUAACGUGAAAAAUAGGCCCUUUGUAUAUUCCAAACCUAGUAUUUCCUCUGCAUUUGGAUUUCAAAUAUGUAAAUAAGGCUGACUGAUUUGUAGCCGAAUAGGCACUGUCUAUAAAGACGGGAUUUUUUCUUAACACCACAGAAACAGCAGGUUGUUUAUUUAAGGAAGUAACUUCUUUAAUAUGGGCAGCCUUUUUAGAUUCAAAAUAAUCUUAAUAGAUGCAAUUUUUUAUUUAAAAAAGGAAAUUAAAUAACAUGCAAAAAUAGCCUGCUGGUUUCACAGGCUAUGUCCAUUGCUGUUUUGUAAAACAAAUAGCCAAGCCACAAAUUUGGUUACAUAUGAAUUGUAACAAUGCUAAGAUCAUACCUAUAUCCAAGAAGAAAUAUUCUUGACAAUUGUAAGAAAUGUAGAAUUAUCUUGGGGCUGUUACUGUGCAGAGGUAACAAAGUAUAUAAUUUGAGCUUCUCAGCAAGUAGCUUUAUGCUUUGGGUUCCUACUGAGAUUGUCCUAUUUUAUUACUAUUUUAAAGAACCUAUUCUGCACCCAUACUCACUUGAGUAAUCUUUAUUCAUUUGCAGAAGUGGGACUGUAUGGAAUAGGAAAAGUACAGUUACCAAGUCGAACAAUGUUCUUAAAAUUUCAUAUAUGACCUUAAAACUGUUAUGAAGAAAGUAAAUUGUGUAAUUAUUUUGUCCCAUUCUUAGGAAAAAUUAAAUAAACACACCCCAGCAGGAAUGUUUUUCCAAAUCAUUCUUGCUGUGCCUAGUAAAUAAGAGCUAAGUUCCAAUAUCCUUGCUCAUGUUCCGUUAGUAACUUACCCCUCAAGUGGCCCCAUUGAAGCCACUGGAGAUGCCAAAAGAGUGAGAUAUUAAACACAAAUAAGAGUGGCAGAGUCUGGCCCAAAGGCUCAGUUCUGAAACUGAUUCUCACAACAAAUAGUACUUUACUCUGCAAAUGCUCCUGUUGGUUACUAUGGCUCAGAUUCUGUUGCCUUUACUCACAUUGAAUAGUACCUUACUCUGCAAAUAAUCUCAUUGAAAUCAGUGGAACAUUUGUGGAAUAAGAUAUUAGUCAGGCUGCAUAAGGGUGGCAGAAUCUGAUCAGUGGGGCUUGGUGUGAAGUAAGGUACUACUUAGGGUGAGUAAGGAUGGCAGAGCUGGGCCCCAAAUAAACUAGGGCCUAAUCCUGGACCUGUUGAAGUCCAGGGUAAAUCCUCUCAUGGUUUUCCUAGUGAAUACCAACCACACAUUUUUUUAAAACAGGGCUACAGUAAAAACAAUGUAGUGACAUGAGAAGGCCCAUUGAAUUCAGAGGGACUCUUUGUGAGAAUAAGACUGGCAGAAUCUGGCUCGUACUCUUCAGUGAGGGUUAGUGCCUUUGCUUGGUUUAUGGAAAACAUAUUUAAAAAUGAGAGUUAUGAGCAGUCAAAUGAUUUUUAGCAGAGCUUACUAUAUCCUCAUCUCCUUUGUGGCAUGAUUCUACAUUUCCCCUGUCCUGCCUAACAAGCACAUGGGCUGCUACUAACAGUCUGCAUGAUGGAGAAUGUAAAUAUUUCCCUGGGACACAGAUCAAAAUCUCCCAGCCCCUGCCCCAGCCUUACCAUCAAGAACAGGCAAAAAUAAUUGGCAUCGGAAAUAAAGAAGUGAAUCUCAAUAUCUUUGGUUCUCUGCAAUUUUACUUGCAUUUUAGGGUAACAUGAAAAAUUGGACAUUUCCUUAAAACAAAAUCGGGUUGGGGCCUGAUUGUCGUCUGUCUGUUCACGUUGUGCAGUCAUCUGCACCUGAGCAAAGUGGAUAUAAAAUGCACAGACGCAAAUGAAAACACAGGAAGUGGAGAAAAAAGCCCUUUAUCUUUUUCCAUAGUGAAGAUUCAGCUAUCAUAUAUACAAAUGAUAGAUUGUCUCCUACCAAACAUUAGCAGCAGCAAAGGUGAGAAUUUUUAACCUCCUUCAUGCCAUUUAUUUCAGUGCAAUGUGAACGUCAAAACAUAAUGGCUCCAUUGCAAUAGUUUAUUAAAUAAAGGCUAUUCCUUUACACUUUAAUUAAAAAGCAAGGGAAUUAUAUGAACAAACUGGCUUAAUGAAAAGUUAAGGAUGAACAGUCAAAAUCACCAAGAGAGACAAGGAGGGCGAGGUAAUAUCUUUUAUUGGACCACCUUCCAUGGGUGAAAGAGACAAGCUUUCAACCUGCAGAAGAGGUCUAUGUAGUUCAAAAGCUUGUCUCUUUCACCAAGAGAAGUGGGUCUAGUAAAAUAUAUUCCUUCACCCACCUUGUGUGUCGACUCUCGUGGGACCAACACAGCUAUAGCAACACUGCAAAAUCACCCAGGGCAGGACAGUAGUGUUUAACCAUAGCGUGUAGUAUGGGCUGGUAAAGAGCUGCACUGCCCUGGGGGAACUGCUAGAGGCAGCAUGUCUCCCAGAGGUGGCUGCACUUAGGGAAGCACCA